rnacentral:rRNA from 1 species
ACGAUGAUUCAUUCAAGUUUCUGCGGCAUCAGCUGUCGACGGGAGUGUAUUGGACUCCCGUGGCUGUAACGCCUAACGGAGAAUUAGGGUUCGACUCCGGAGAGGGAGCCUGAGAAACGGCUACCACUUCCAAGGAAGGCAGCAGGCGCGAAAAUUACUCAAUCCUAACCCAGGGAAGUAGUGACAAGCAAUACCGAUAGGGAUCCUUUUGGAUUCUUUGUUGGAAUGGGCGUAAUUUAAACCC